rnacentral:hammerhead_ribozyme from 1 species
AUCCAGCUGACGAGUCCCAAAUAAGACUAAGUGACGCACGUCCUGGAU